rnacentral:lncRNA from 1 species
CCCCGCCCGGUGGCCGCCAGCCUCCUCAUGUGACGCGGGAACAGCUGCGGCCUGAGUCACCACGGUCAGCCAGGGGAGGGCCGAGCCCCCCGCCCGGCAGGGCCACGUGGCCACUAACCCAGAAGACUGUACCCACCCCCGCAAAGGGAAGGCACUCAGGGCCGCACUUAAUCGCGCCCGGGGCCCUUGUGGAAGCAGGACGGAGCGCCGCCGGGUUCUCUUUGAUUCUUGGAAGCAGAGGAGGCGGGUAAGAGCCAAAGGAAGGAUGGACGACACAGAGUUGCCCUCUAAGCGCCCAGACGGCAGAGCUGAGGCAAAGUGAAAAGGUGGUCUGCGCGAGGCGUCCUCAUCCUUCAUCGCCCAGAGCCCACCCGGAUCCUCCUCGCGCUUUCUGUUUUAAGCUCCCGCCCCCAUUCUCGGGUCUGCAGAAAGCUACGGGCUGCCUGGGAUCGGGUGGGGCCAGAAUAAACAUUUACAGAAAGUCCCUGGCCUCAGGUCUUGGGAGUCUCCCAACAUUUCUAGCCUGCGUGGAGGGGCGGCGGGGAAGUUCAUGUCCC